rnacentral:snRNA from 1 species
GUGCUCGCUUCGGCAGCACAUAUACUAAAAUUGUAAUGAUACAGAGAAGAUGAGCAUGGCCCCUGCACAAG